UACGUAGGAGGCAAGCGUUGUCCGGAAUCAUUGGGCGUAAAGAGCGUGUAGGCGGCUCGGUAAGUCCGCUGUGAAAGUCCAGGGCUCAACCCUGGAAUGCCGGUGGAAACUGUCGAGCUAGAGUCCGGAAGAGGCGAGUGGAAUUCCUGGUGUAGCGGUGAAAUGCGCAGAUAUCAGGAAGAACACCCGUGGCGAAGGCGGCUCUCUGGGACGGUACUGACGCUGAGACGCGAAAGCGUGGGGAGCAAACAGG
rnacentral:rRNA from 1 species